rnacentral:misc_RNA from 1 species
GAUGAAGAACGCAGUGAAAUGCGAUAAGUAAUGUGAAUUGCAGAAUUCAGUGAAUCAUCGAAUCUUUGAACGCACAUUGCGCCCGCCAGUAUUCUGGCGGGCAUGCCUGUCCGAGCGUCAUUUCAACCAUCAAGCCCCGGGCUUGUGUUGGGGACCUGCGUCCGACGCAGGCCCUGAAAACCAGUGGCGGGCUCGCUGUCCACACCGAGCGUAGUAACUAACCUCGCUAUGGAGUGGCGCGGGCGCCUGCCGUAGAACCCCCAAUUUCACAAGGUUGACCUCGGAUCAGGUAGGAAUACCCGCUGAACUUAAGCAUAUCAAUAAGCGGAGGA